UAGUAAGCUACUAAGAGUGUACGGAGGAUACCUUGGCGCCAAACGCCGAUGAAGGACGUGGUACACUGCGAAAAGUCUCGGGAAUCGUGUACAGAUGUUAUAUCCGAGAAUUUCCGAAUGGAAACCACUGCGGGUUUAUGCCGCAGUAUUCUGUUCUGAACACAUAGGGACAGAAGGGAACGAAGCGAACUGAAACAUCUAAGUAGCUUCGGAAAGAAAUAAUUCUCCUAGUAGUGGCGAGCGAACUGGGAAAAGCUCAAACCAUUUUGCGUGUCAAAAUGGGGUUGUAGGGCAUCGCGAUAGGAGUAAAAAGUUGUUUGGUAAUGGAAUGGUGUGGAAAGGCCAACCAGAGAGGGUGACAGUCCUGGUUAUGAAACCAAGUAGCCUCCUGCGAUGUACCUGAUACAACGGGCGUGGAACCCUGUUGGAAUCUGGGCGGACCCGCCGCCUGGGCUAAAUACGUUUGGCGACCGAUAGCGAACUAGUACCGUGAGGGAAAGGUGAAAGACCCUAGUGAAGGGAGUGAAAUAGAACCGAAACCGUACACUUACAACGGUCAGAGCACGAUGGCGCAAGCCCGUGUGAUGGCGUGCCUUUGGAGAAUGAGCCAGCGAGUUAAUCUCCAGUGGCAAGGUUAAGUCAGAGACAGACGGGCCAUAGCGAAAGCGAGUCUGAAAAGGGCGCGAAGUCGCUGGGAUUAGACACGAAACCAGUGAGCUACCCAUGGGCGGGCUGAAGCGAGUGUAAGAGCUCGUGGAGGGCCGAACUCACUAAUGUUGCAAAAUUAGGGGGAUGACCUGUGGGUAGAGGUGAUAUGCCAAUCGAACUUGGAGAUAGCUUGUUCUCUCCGAAAUAGCUUUAGGGCUAGCGUUGCGCGUUUACUGUUGGGGUAGAGCACUGAAUAGGCUGGGGGCGCAAGCUUACCAAACCUAAUCAAACUCCGAAUACCAGCAGUUUAGAGCUGUGGCAGUCGGACUACGUGAGAUGAGAUUUCGUAGUCGAAGGGGAAACAACCCAGACCGCCAGCUAAGUCCCUAAGUGUGUGCUAAGUGGGAAACGAUGUGGAGAGUGUUUAGACAGCCAGGAGGUUGGCUUAGAAGCAGCCACCCUUUAAAGAGUGCGUAAUAGCUCCUCGUCAAACGCUCUUGCGCAUGGAAAAUGUAACGGGGCUCGAGCACACCACCGAAGCUACGGAUCGUGAUUUAUCGCGAUGGUAGGAGAGCGUUGUGUGGGAGAUACGAGCAUUACCGAAAGGAGAUGUGCAGGCUACACAAGUGAGAAUGCUGGCAUGAGUGGCGUAAAACAUGUGAGAACCAUGUUCCCGAACCCUAAGGUUUCCGACGGAAGGUCAAUCCGCGUCGGGUUAGUCGCAAGUGUAAGCUGAGGCCGAAAGGCGUAAGCGAUGGACAUCGGGUUAAUAUUCCCGAACCGGUAUGUGGAGCGAUGCGAGGACGCAAUUUGGUAGGUCAGCCCCUUAUUGGAUUGGGGUUCCAAACGGUUGGAGUCAUUGAAGACGGUAGGUAAGUCCGCUGUCUGAGACUGAGCCGUGACGGCGGUGCCUAAGAGCCAAAGUGGUCGAGCCAAGUUGCCGGAAAAUCCACUAAGCGAUGAAGUGUACCUGCCGUACCGCAAACCGACACUGGUAGGCGAGUUGAAGAUACUAAGGAACGAGAGAACCCUGGUUAAGGAACUAGGCAAAAUACCCCGUAACUUCGGGAUAAGGGGGGCCCUGCGGGUGAAUAGCCUGUGGGGGUCGCAGAGAAUGGCUCUUCAACUGUUUAUCAAAACACAGGUCUCUGCAAAGUCGAAAGACGAUGUAUAGGCGGCGACUGCCCGGUGCUGCAAGGUUAAAGGGAGGUGUGCAAGCACUGAACUGAAGCCCCAGUGAACGGCGGCCGUAAAUUAUAACGGUCCUAAGGUAGCGAAAUUCCUUGUCGGGUAAGUUCCGACCCGCACGAAUGGCGUAAUGAGAGGAGCACUGUCUCAACGAGGGACUCCGCGAAAUUGAAGUAUGCGUAAAGAUGCGCAUUACCUGCAGGACAAAAGACCCGUGGAGCUUUGCUGUAGCUUGACAUUGGGUUGAGGGUGCACUUGUAGGAUAGCUGGGAGGCUGAAGCUGGGACGCUAGUCUCUGGUGGAGCCAAUGUUGAAACUACCAGCCUGGUGUACUUUUGGCUCUAACCUGUGGCCUUUAUCGGGCAUGGGGACAUUGUCUGGUGGGCAGUUUGACUGGGGCGGUCGCCUCGAAAGAGUAACAGAGGCGCCCAAAGGUUGGCUCAGGCUGAAUGGAAACCAGCCGCAGAGUGUAAAGGCAGAAGCCAGCUUGACUGCGAGACUUACGUGGUCGAGCAGGGACGAAAGUCGGGCAGUGAUCCUACGGUUCCGAGUGGAAGGCCGUGGCUUACCGGAUAAAAAGCUACCCCGGGAUAACAGGCUAGUCUUGUCCAGAGUUCACAUCGACGACAAGGCUCGGCACCUCGAUGUCGGCUCAUCCAUCCUGGGGCUGGACAAGUCCCAAGGGUUCGGCUGUUCGCCGAUUAAAGCGGUACGAGCUGGGUUCAGACCGUCGGAGACAGGUCGGUCUCUAUCCGCUGUGGGCGCAAGGGAUUUUGGCUGCUGCCCUAGCAUGAGGAGGACUGGUGAAUGAACUGAUAGGUGCUAGUUAAAGCAACCACAUUGUUGUAGUUGUUGGAAUGGAUAACCGCCAGCAUUCAAGCGGGAAGCCAGCUUCAAGAUGAGAUCCCCUUACUAGGUCAACUAGGUAAGACCGCUGAAGACUACUAGCUUGAUAGGCGGCAGGUGCACACAGUAAUGUGUAGCUAAGCCGCAGCUCAUCGGUCGAGGGCUUACACUU
rnacentral:rRNA from 1 species